rnacentral:rRNA from 1 species
GAUGAACGCUGGCGGCGUGCCUAAUACAUGCAAGUCGAGCGAACGGACGAGAAGCUUGCUUCUCUGAUGUUAGCGGCGGACGGGUGAGUAACACGUGGAUAACCUACCUAUAAGACUGGGAUAACUUCGGGAAACCGGAGCUAAUACCGGAUAAUAUUUUGAACCGCAUGUUUCAAAAGUGAAAGACGGUCUUGCUGUCACUUAUAGAUGGAUCCGCGCUGCAUUAGCUAGUUGGUAAGGUAACGGCUUACCAAGGCAACGAUGCAUAGCCGACCUGAGAGGGUGAUCGGCCACACUGGAACUGAGACACGGUCCAGACUCCUACGGGAGGCCGCAGUAGGGAAUCCUCCGCAAUGGGCGAAAGCCUGACGGAGCAACGCCGCGUGAGUGAUGAAGCUCUUCGGAUCGUAAAACUCUGUUAUUAGGGAAGAACAUAUGUGUAAGUAACUGUGCACAUCUUGACGGUACCUAAUCAGAAAGCCACGGCUAACUACGUG